rnacentral:rRNA from 1 species
CCUACGGGUGGCAGCAGUGGGGGAUAUUGCACAAUGGGGGAAACCCUGAUGCAGCGACGCCGCGUGUGGGAAGACGGUCUUCUGGAUUGUAAACCACUGUCCCCAGGGACGAUAAUGACGGUACCUGGGGAGGAAGCUCCGGCAAACUACGUGCCCGCAGCCGCGGUAAUACGUAGGGAGCAAGCGUUGUCCGGAAUUACUGGGUGAAAAGGGAGCGUAGGCGGGGUUGCAAGUUGAGUGUCAAAACUACCGGUGAAACCGAUAGUCGCACUUAAAACUGCAGCUCUUGAGUGAAGUAGAGGCAGGCGGAAUUCCUAGUGUAGCGGUGAAAUGCGUAGAUAUUAGGAGGAACACCAGUGGCGAAGGCGGCCUGCUGGGCUUUUACUGACGCUGAGGCUCGAAAGUGUGGGGAGCAAACAGGAUUAGAUACCCCAGUAGUC